GACGAACGCUGGCGGCGUGCCUAAUACAUGCAAGUAGAACGCUGAAGAGAGGAGCUUGCUCUUCUUGGAUGAGUUGCGAACGGGUGAGUAACGCGUAGGUAACCUGCCUUGUAGCGGGGGAUAACUAUUGGAAACGAUAGCCAAUACCGCAUAACAAUGGAUGACACAUGUCAUUUAUUUGAAAGGGGCAAUUGCUCCACUACAAGAUGGACCUGCGUUGUAUUAGCUAGUAGGUGAGGUAAUGGCUCACCUAGGCGACGAUACAUAGCCGACCUGAGAGGGUGAUCGGCCACACUGGGACUGAGACACGGCCCAGACUCCUACGGGAGGCAGCAGUAGGGAAUCUUCGGCAAUGGGGGCAACCCUGACCGAGCAACGCCGCGUGAGUGAAGAAGGUUUUCGGAUCGUAAAGCUCUGUUGUAAGUCAAGAACGGGUGUGAGAGUGGAAAGUUCACACUGUGACGGUAGCUUACCAGAAAGGGACGGCUAACUACGUG
rnacentral:rRNA from 1 species